UCAUCUCCGGGGGUAGAGCACUGUUUCGGCAAGGGGGUCAUCCCGACUUACCAACCCGAUGCAAACUGCGAAUACCGGAGAAUGUUAUCACGGGAGACACACGGCGGGUGCUAACGUCCGUCGUGAAGAGGGAAACAACCCAGACCGCCAGCUAAGGUCCCAAAGUCAUGGUUAAGUGGGAAACGAUGUGGGAAGGCCCAGACAGCCAGGAUGUUGGCUUAGAAGCAGCCAUCAUUUAAAGAAAGCGUAAUAGCUCACUGGUCGAGUCGGCCUGCGCGGAAGAUGUAACGGGGCUAAACCAUGCACCGAAGCUGCGGCAGCGACGCUUAUGCGUUGUUGGGUAGGGGAGCGUUCUGUAAGCCUGUGAAGGUGUGCUGUGAGGCAUGCUGGAGGUAUCAGAAGUGCGAAUGCUGACAUAAGUAACGAUAAAGCGGGUGAAAAGCCCGCUCGCCGGAAGACCAAGGGUUCCUGUCCAACGUUAAUCGGGGCAGGGUGAGUCGACCCCUAAGGCGAGGCCGAAAGGCGUAGUCGAUGGGAAACAGGUUAAUAUUCCUGUACUUGGUGUUACUGCGAAGGGGGGACGGAGAAGGCUAUGUUGGCCGGGCGACGGUUGUCCCGGUUUAAGCGUGUAGGCUGGUUUUCCAGGCAAAUCCGGAAAAUCAAGGCUGAGGCGUGAUGACGAGGCACUACGGUGCUGAAGCAACAAAUGCCCUGCUUCCAGGAAAAGCCUCUAAGCAUCAGGUAACAUCAAAUCGUACCCCAAACCGACACAGGUGGUCAGGUAGAG
rnacentral:rRNA from 1 species